AGCCCAACAGCUAGCCCAACUCCCCAAAACAACCACCCACUAUAACUAACCCCAAAGACACGCACCCCCACAAAACAAAUCAUUUUUCCCCCUAAGUAUAGGCGAUAGAAAAGGAAUUAGGAGCGAUAGAAAAAGUACCGCAAGGGAACGCCGAAAGAGAAAUGAAACAACCCAGUUAAAGCCCAAAAAAGCAGAGAUAAUUCCUCGUACCUUUUGCAUCAUGAUUUAGCAAGUACCCCCAAGCAAAGAGCACUUUAGUUUGCUACCCCGAAACUAGACGAGCUACUCCAAGACAGCCUGUAGCAGAGGCCAACCCGUCUCUGUGGCAAAAGAGUGGGAAGAGCUUCGAGUAGAGGUGACAGACCUACCGAGCCUAGUUAUAGCUGGUUCCCUGGGAAUUGGAUAGAAGUUCAGCCUCUUGGCUUCUCCCCUCACUUUAGUAUUUACUCCUUACAGACAACCAAAGAAACCUUGAGAGUUAGUCAAAGGGGGCACAGCCCCUUUGACAUAAGACACAACUUUUUUAGUAGGCUAAAGAUCAUAAACCCUCGAAGGACGGUUAUUUAGGUGGGCUUAAAAGCAGCCAUCCUGUUAGAAAGCGUUAAAGCUCCAAUAUAUUCUCAACUCCUUAGAUCCCGACAAUCCUAUCUUACCCCACUAAACCUACCAGGGCGCUCUAUACAACCUAUAGAAGCGAUUAUGCUAAUAUGAGUAACAAGAGGGGGUCAUAGCCCCUCUCCUUGCACAAGUGUACAUCAGAACGGACCCCCCACCGCAAAUUAACGGCCUCAAACAAAGAGGGCACUGAAGAAUGAACUAGACAACUAGAAAAACAUCCAAUAACUAACCGUUGACCCCACACUGGUGUGCUUUUAAGGAAAGACUAAAAGAAAGAGAAGGAACUCGGCAAACAUCUGAGCCUCGCCUGUUUACCAAAAACAUCGCCUCUUGCAAAAUCAAUGAAUAAGAGGUCCCGCCUGCCCUGUGACUAUAUGUUUAACGGCCGCGGUAUUUUGACCGUGCGAAGGUAGCGUAAUCACUUGUCUCUUAAAUGGGGACCUGUAUGAAUGGCAUAACGAGGGUUCAACUGUCUCCUCUCUCAAGUCAGUUAAAUUGAUCUCUCCGUGCAGAAGCGGAGAUAACACCAUAAGACGAGAAGACCCUAUGGAGCUUUAGACACCAAGGUAGAUUUAUGUUUAACCUUCUCCAACAAGAAAAGAAAAACUAAAUAGACUCCUACCCUAAUGUCUUUGGUUGGGGCGACCGUGGGGCACACAAAACCCCCACGUGGAGCAGGAGCACAACUACUCCCACAGCUAAGAGCUACCGCUCUAAUAAGCAGAAUUUCUGACCAAAAAUGAUCCGACAACGUCGAUCAACGAACCGAGUUACCCUAGGGAUAACAGCGCAAUCUCCUUUUAGAGCCCAUAUCGACAAGGAGGUUUACGACCUCGAUGUUGGAUCAGGACAUCCUAAUGGUGCAGCCGCUAUUAAGGGUUCGUUUGUUCAACGAUUAAAGUCCUACGUGAUCUGAGUUCAGACCGGAGUAAUCCAGGUCAGUUUCUAUCUAUGAUACGACCUUUUCUAGUACGAAAGGACCGAAAAGGAAAGGCCCCUACUUAAAGUACGCCUUACCCUUACUUAAUGACACCAACUAAAGUAAGCAAAAGGGCGUACCCCUUUCCGCCUAAGAAAACGGCAUUCACCU
rnacentral:rRNA from 1 species